rnacentral:lncRNA from 1 species
CAGAUGACUUGGUAGGGAGUUUUUCCACACUAUAUCGUGCAGGCUCACUGCCAAGAGCUCGUAUACAAUGCAAGUCACAUUUUGAAAUGUGAAGCAUUCAUACAUCUUAAUGAGAUGGUUCUCUUCAGGAUCCAGGUGUUUGAUCCGUUUCAUUAAUUCCAUCUCUCUCAGGCCUGCUGAGUCACGUUUUAUGAUUUUAAUGGCACAAAACUCAUGACCCCCCAAUUUUGUACAUUUGGCCACUUUUCCGUAGCUUCCCUCCCCCAGGAAUUCCCAAACUUUGUAAAUUCCCAGAUUUCCCACCAGAUAAUGGCCUUCCUUCACAUCAUAGGAUGAUGUGUCUGUAUUUCCUUUUCUUGUCAUUUUUUCUUUGGGUGUGUUGUUCUUUAGACGUCUGUCAGUUGAAGAUUUGUUCUUUAGGAACAGCUUAUCAAAUGUCUUUAGUCACUUGUGAAGAUUGUUCUUAGAGAACAGCUUAUCAAGGCCUUCGAAAUAUCUUUGGCUUUGACUCUUCCUCUUCCAGAUGGUUUGAAGAAAAUCCACAGAGUCCUCAGCUUUAUAGGUUUCCACAGUGACGAGAAUGACGUCAAAUGAUGACGUCAUUUCACAUCACGUGAUAUCAGCUAAUCAGACAUCAAAGAGCAGCGUCGGGUGACGUCAUCAACGUGGGCCGCAGUCACGUGGAAGUGCGCACGCGCAUGCGCACGAGCACCAGCCUUUCGUCAAUCAUUCCAGCGUCAAAAUGCGCUAAAUGAAACGGAGCUCGCGCGGUUCGCGCGUGUGAACUUCAUGCUGCCGUGAACAUUAGUCGGAGGAGAUUCUCCAACAUCUGAUUCAAACUGUCUCCAACAUUUCAGACUGAUCGAGUCUCCCCCGAUGACAGAGAGCUCAGCGGGACUCUGGAGAAAGUUCUGACCCAGAACUCCUGGACCCGUUCAGGACGGGAAACACCUGGAUGUUCAAACAGAGUCUGGAGGAAAGAGGAGACACAAUCCAAGUUACUGCAGGUCCGUUUCCUCUGCUGGUGUUUUCUCUGGUCCAAGAUGGUGACAGCUGUCAGUCAGGAGCUUUCGGAGCGUGUGGAAGAAGAAGAGUCAGGAACAAGCCGGAGGACAAGGGAGCCAGCAUGUUUGUUCUUUUUGAGAGAUUCAAA